UUCCCCUAGUAACUGCGAGUGAAGCGGGAAAAGCUCAAAUUUAAAAUCUGGCGGUCUUUGGCCGUCCGAGUUGUAGUCUGGAGAAGUGCUUUCCGCGCUGGACCGUGUAUAAGUCUCUUGGAACAGAGCGUCAUAGAGGGUGAGAAUCCCGUCUUUGACACGGACUACCAGUGCUUUGUGAUGCGCUCUCAAAGAGUCGAGUUGUUUGGGAAUGCAGCUCAAAAUGGGUGGUGAAUUCCAUCUAAAGCUAAAUAUUGGCGAGAGACCGAUAGCGAACAAGUACCGUGAGGGAAAGAUGAAAAGCACUUUGGAAAGAGAGUUAAACAGUACGUGAAAUUGCUGAAAGGGAAACGCUUGAAGUCAGUCGCGUUGUCCGGAACUCAGCCUUGCUUUCGCUUGGUGCACUUUCCGGAUGACGGGUCAGCAUCGAUUUUGACCGUCGGAAAAGGGCUGGAGUAAUGUGGCACCUCCGGGUGUGUUAUAGACUCUGGUCGCAUACGACGGCUGGGAUCGAGGAACGCAGCGCGCCGCAAGGCAGGGGUUCGCCCACUUUCGCGCUUAGGAUGCUGGCA
rnacentral:rRNA from 1 species